GACGAACGCUGGCGGCGUGCUUAACACAUGCAAGUCGAACGGAAAGGCCCUGCUUUUGUGGGGUGCUCGAGUGGCGAACGGGUGAGUAACACGUGAGUAACCUGCCCUUGACUUUGGGAUAACUUCAGGAAACUGGGGCUAAUACCGGAUAGGAGCUCCUGCUGCAUGGUGGUGGUUGGAAAGUUUCGGCGGUUGGGGAUGGACUCGCGGCUUAUCAGCUUGUUGGUGGGGUAGUGGCUUACCAAGGCUUUGACGGGUAGCCGGCCUGAGAGGGUGACCGGCCACAUGGGGACUAAGAUACGGCCCAGACUCCUACGGGAGGCAGCAGGGGGGAAUAUUGCACAAUGGGCGGAAGCCUGAUGCAGAAACGCCGCGUGCGGGAUGACGGCCUUCGGGUUGUAAACCGCUUUCGACUGUGACGAAGCGUGAGUGACGGUAAUGGGUAAAGAAGCACCGGCUAACUACGUG
rnacentral:rRNA from 1 species